ACUCAAAUGAAUAGACGGGGACUCGCACAAGCGGUGGAUUAUGUGGUUUAAUUCGUAGGUAAACGAAGAACCUUACCAUGCCUUGAAACCUAACUGAAAGCUCGCAGAAACGUGAGCCCUCGCAAGACUGUUAGGCAGGUGAUGCAUGGCCGUCGUCAGCUCGUGGUUUGAACUGUUCCCUUAAGUGGGCUAACGAGCGCAACCCUCGUCGUCUGUUACAAGUGUCAGGCGAGACCGCCCAGCACAAAGUAUAUGAGUCAUAAAAAUGAUUCGUAUGUUUCGUGCUGGGAGGAAGGAGAGGAUGACGCCAGGUCAGCAUGUCCCUUUGAUGGCAUGGGCCACACACAUAAUACAAUGGCUACUACAGUGGGUCGCGACGCAGUAAUGCUGAGCCAAUCCUCAAAGGUAGCCCUAGUUCGGAUAGAAGUCUGCAACUCGACUUCUUGAAGCUGGAAUCGCUAGUAAUCGCAGGUCAGCCAAACUGCGGUGAAUACGUUCUCGAGUCUUGUACACACCGCCCGU
rnacentral:rRNA from 1 species